rnacentral:rRNA from 1 species
GACGAACGCUGGCGGCGUGCUUAACACAUGCAAGUCGAACGGAAAGGCCCCUUUGGGGGUACUCGAGUGGCGAACGGGAGAGUAACACGUGAGUAACCUGCCCUUGACUUCGGGAUAACUUCAGGAAACUGGGGCUAAUACCGGAUAGGAAUCCUUGCUGCAUGGUGGGGGUUGGAAAGCUUCGGCGGUUUUGGAUGGACUCGCGGCUUAUCAGCUUGUUGGUGGGGUAGUGGCUUACCAAGGCUUUGACGGGUAGCCGGCCUGAGAGGGCGACCGGCCACAUUGGGACUGAGAUACGGCCCAGACUCCUACGGGAGGCAGCAGUGGGGAAUAUUGCACAAUGGGCGGAAGCCUGAUGCAGCAACGCCGCGUGCGGGAUGACGGCCUUCGGGUUGUAAACCGCUUUCAGCAGGGGCGAAGCUUGUGGUGACGGUACCUGCAGAAGAAGCACCGGCUAACUACGUG